AUGAUCAUUACUUUCAUGAUUCUUAACAGGCAUGGAGCCAUAGGGGGUCUGGGGCCCGGGCCCGGAUGGGUGCCCAUGGGGGGCCGGGUCUGGAGGUGCCAGGGAGGGAGGAAUGGUUUCAAGUCGCUUUAAUGUCUGAUUAUAGACGG